AGAGUUUGAUCAUGGCUCAGAACGAACGCUGGCGGCAGGCUUAACACAUGCAAGUCGAGCGCCCCGCAAGGGGAGCGGCAGACGGGUGAGUAACGCGUGGGAACGUGCCCUAAGGUACGGAACAACUCCGGGAAACUGGAGCUAAUACCGUAUGUGACCGAGAGGUGAAAGAUUUAUCGCCUUGGGAUCGGCCCGCGUUAGAUUAGCUAGUUGGUGGGGUAAAAGCCUACCAAGGCGACGAUCUAUAGCUGGUCUGAGAGGACGAUCAGCCACACUGGGACUGAGACACGGCCCAGACUCCUACGGGAGGCAGCAGUGGGGAAUCUUGGACAAUGGGCGCAAGCCUGAUCCAGCCAUGCCGCGUGAGUGAUGAAGGCCCUAGGGUUGUAAAACUCUUUCGUCAGGGACGAUAAUGACGGUACCUGAAGAAGAAGCCCCGGCUAACUUCGUGCCAGCAGCCGCGGUAAUACGAAGGGGGCUAGCGUUGUUCGGAUUUACUGGGCGUAAAGCGCAUGUAGGCGGGUCGUUAAGUUGGGGGUGAAAUCCCGGAGCUCAACUCCGGAAUUGCCUUCAAAACUGGCGGCCUGGAGCAGAAGAGAGGCGAGUGGAAUUCCGAGUGUAGAGGUGAAAUUCGUAGAUAUUCGGAGGAACACCAGUGGCGAAGGCGGCUCGCUGGCUUCUUGCUGACGCUGAGAUGCGAAAGCGUGGGGAGCAAACAGGAUUAGAUACCCUAGUAGUCC
rnacentral:rRNA from 1 species